rnacentral:tRNA from 1 species
GCGGAAGUGCUGGAAUCGGCAGACAGGCACGCUUGAGGUGCGUGUGUCAAUGACGUGUGGGUUCAAGUCCCAUCUUCCGCACCA